rnacentral:rRNA from 1 species
UACGAAGGGGGUAAGCGUUGUUCGGAAUUACUGGGCGUAAAGGGCUCGUAGGCGGCCAACUAAGUCAUACGUGAAAUCCCUCAGCUUAACUGGGGAACUGCGUGUGAUACUGGAUGGCUUGGAUUUGGGAGAGGGAUGUGGAAUUCCAGGUGUAGCGGUGAAAUGCGUAGAUAUCUGGAGGAACACCGGUGGCGAAGGCGGCAUCCUGGACCGGCAUUGACGCUGAGGCGCGAAAGCCAGGGGAGCAAACGGG